CGAAGGGGGCUAGCGUUGUUCGGAGUUACUGGGCGUAAAGGGCGCGUAGGCGGCCCUCCAAGUCGGGUGUGAAAGCCCACGGCUCAACCGUGGAAUUGCACUCGAGACUGGGGAGCUUGAGGAUGGGAGAGGAUGGUGGAAUUCCCAGUGUAGAGGUGAAAUUCGUAGAUAUUGGGAAGAACACCGGUGGCGAAGGCGGCCAUCUGGACCAUUUCUGACGCUGAGGCGCGAAAGCGUGGGGAGCAAACAGGAUUAGAUACCCUGGUAGUCCACGCCGUAAACGAUGAGUGCUAGACGUUGGGGAGCCUAGCUCUUCGGUGUCGCAGCUAACGCAUUAAGCACUCCGCCUGGGGAGUACGGCCGCAAGGUUA
rnacentral:rRNA from 1 species